rnacentral:rRNA from 1 species
CCCCUAGAUGUUCUGGGCCGCACGCGCGCUACACUGAACAGUUCAACAAGUCUUAACCUUGGCCGAUAGGUCUGGGUAAUCUUUGAACGCUGUUCGUGAUUGGGAUAGACCUUUGCAAUUAUGGGUCUUCAACGAGGAAUUCCUAGUAAACGCAAGUCAUCAGCUUGCAUUGAUUACGUCCCUGCCCUUUGUACACCCCGCCCGUCGCACCUACCGAUUGAAUGGUCCGGUGAAAUCUCGGGACGGCGGCUUGGUCGCUUGCGUCCGACUGCUGAAACUUGAUUAAACCAUAUCAUUUAGAGGAAGGUGAANUCGUANCA